rnacentral:rRNA from 1 species
GGGGAAUUUUCCGCAAUGGGCGAAAGCCUGACGGAGCAAUACCGCGUGAGGGAGGAAGGCUUUUGGGUUGUAAACCUCUUUUCUCAAGGAAGAAGCAAGUGACGGUACUUGAGGAAGAAGCAUCGGCUAACUCCGUGCCAGCAGCCGCGGUAAUACGGAGGAUGCAAGCGUUAUCCGGAAUUAUUGGGCGUAAAGCGUCCGUAGGUGGCUAAUCAAGUCUGCUGUCAAAGACUAGAGCUUAACUCUAGAAAGGCGGUGGAAACUGAAGAGCUAGAGGCCGGUAGGGGUAGAGGGAAUUCCCAGUGUAGCGGUGAAAUGCGUAGAGAUUGGGAAGAACACCAGUGGCGAAGGCGCUCUACUGGGCCGGAACUGACACUGAGGGACGAAAGCUAGGGUAGCGAAAGGGAUUAGAUACCCCUGUAGUC